UCAGAAUUUCUUUGUUAUUCUUUACAUCUACAGGAUAAGACAGAUUCCUUAAUGUGGUACUGAGCCAUACAAUAUUUGUUCGGGUUUCUUCUCCCAGUGUGGCUUCAGGACCUGGUGGCUUCUCUUUCUACAUCUGACUGUAAUAUGUGUCUGUCUCCUCUAACCACAAUGGACUGGAAGAAGUUGAUUCACCUGGCAGAUCCUCUGUCACUUACUGUGAAGGAAAUGUGAGAAGCAGACCUCCUAAAUGUGGGGUCUGGAUGAGGAACAAAGGGUUGCUUAUGGGUUUGAUGGAGAACUUAUCUCUCAUGUAUUGAGACAUCUACUCUAGCCCAGGUCUGGAGACCUUCCCACCAACAUGUUCUAGAGCCCACUCUACACCGGGAGCACAGCACCAAACCUCUGGCAAAAGCAUGAAAUCUGAGCCCUAUCUGACCUCACAGCCCUUGGAUUCAGCAUGGAGGGAACAACUGAGGGAGAGGAAGUCUUUCUUACUCUACAGGGCCACUGCUUCCCAUUUCUCACCCUGCAAUGUGAGAGCUACAGAGUCAUUGAAUCUGCCUCAGACCACAGACCCAAACUAUGGCAACAAGAUAAAAUCAGACCUAAUAAAAGAAGCCCUGUAAGUACA